AUUGAACGCUGGCGGCAGGCCUAACACAUGCAAGUCGAGCGAGCGUCGGACGGGUGUGUAAUGUAUGGGGACUGCACGAUAUAGGGGGAUAAAUACUGGAAACGGUAGCUAAUACCGCAUACUAUCUGAGAACCCCUAUGGGAUUAGCUAGUAGGUGCGGUAAUGGCUCACCUAGGGGACGAUCCCUAGCUGGUCUGAGAGGAUGAUCAGCCACACUGGAACUGAGACACGGCCCAGACUCCUACGGAGGAAGCAGUGGGGAAUAUUGCACAAUGGGAGCAAGCCUGAUGCAGCCAUGCCGCGUGUAUGAAGAAGGCCCUAGGGUUGUAAAGUACUUUCAGUCGGGAGGCGUUACCGACAGAAGAAGCACCGGCUAACUCCGUGCCAGCAGCCGCGGUAAUAC
rnacentral:rRNA from 1 species